GGACCCGCACAGGCAGGCGACAGCCACUCGGGCUGGGGAAGGCGCGAGGGAGGGGACGCGGGCCGCGCGCCGCGCUCGGGGGCCGGUGACCGCGCCGGGGCCCUCUGCUCGCGGCCGGGCGCAGCGCCGGGCACCGCGGCGGGCGGGGCGGGGCCUCGGCGGGCUGGGCGCGCCGGGCAUCGAGCGCAACUCCUGGCGCCCGCGCGGAGACUUUGCCAAAGACCCGAAGGGCGAGACGCUGUGCCACUUCUGACGGAGGGGGCCGGGGGGUGGGGGGACGGGGGCAGCGCCUCCAGCCGGGGCGAAGGGACCAGCGGGACAGCGGCCGCCCGGGGCACGGGGCCACCAUGUGAGCCGGACGCCGGCCCGAGGAGUCUGGACCGAGCGGCCCCGGAGAGGCGCCGGCCGUGCCAGGUCAACAUUGCUCGGCCCACAAGGACUGGCUUAAUGGCCGGCAUCAGCCGCACGCUGUGUGAUUCAUUUUCUUCGCAGGAAAGUCGGGCAUCAUUUUCAUAAACAUUUGCAGUCACUGCCCAUCUUUGCUGCAGGUGUUCCUGGGACAUGACCACGCUGUUCUGUUAAGCUGUUCUGUGUGUGCUCUGUCAGGAGUUUGGCCAGCCCUGCUAAUCUCUGGGAUGACUCCGACAGGGAAAUAAAAGCCUCGAACACGGGAGCGCAGUGAUUCGGUCUGUGGUCAGUUAGGCAGGGACCAGACGGAACCACAACAAUGAAACAUGUUUAAGAAUAAACAGUGUCCAAGGGGCACAGAGCAAACCAGUGGUGAGUGCAGAGUGAGAGGAGAGCAUCGAGAACUGAGAGAACAGUGGGCUUCCCUGCGGCCCACUGGUUAGGACUCCCCGCACCAACGCAGGCAACGUGGGCUCGAUCCCUGGUCCAGGGAGAUCCCACCAAGCCCAUGCAUCACAACUGCUGAGCCCGUGUGUCACAGAGAAGCCACCACAGUGAGGAGCCCAUGCACCACAGCUGGAGAGCAGCCCCUCUUUCCCACAACUACAGAAAGCCCGUGGGCAGCAACAGAAGCCCAGCGCAGCCAUAAUGAAUGGUUAGAACGGUAUUGCUCCAGGUAGGGGGAGACCUGGGCAAGAGGGGUCUGCCGAGACGUGCGGAAGUGCACAUCUCUCUUUGAGUCGCCAUGUAAUGGUGAGCAACUCUCCACUUGUCUGAGUCUACUUUUCAUCUGUAAACAUAAUAACAAGCGUGUGAUGUUUACUAUGUGGCUGCCUCAUUUUAACUGCUCCAUACGUGUCAACUCACUCCAUCAUCACAACAACCUGAUGAGGCAGCUACCAAAAGUCUCGUCAUCAUCAUAACCCACUUUAUAGAAGAGGAAGCUGGAGGAGCAAAGAUGAAGUAAUUUAAUCUUACUUAAAAUUAUUUAAUCUUUAAGGUCUCCUACCUGGAAAGCAAAGGGCCAGAAUUCCCAAAUGGGCCCGUUUGUUC
rnacentral:lncRNA from 1 species